AGUUAAACAGUACGUGAAAUUGUUGAAAGGGAAACGAUUGAAGUCAGUCAUACUAACGGGAAAUCAACCUCUUGAGUUUGGUCUCGUGGGUUUCGAAGAGUUUAAAAGCCUUCGGAUUUUCGAGAUUGGGCUCUUCUGGUGUACUUUCUCGUACGGUUAGUCAACAUCGGUUUUGAAUGUCAUAAAAUGACUGGAGGAAUGUGGCUUCGAUCUCGUAUUGAAGUGUUAUAGCCUUUGGUAGAUGUGAUGUUCGAGACCGAGGAUUGCAACGGAUACCCUUCUGGGCUAUUCGUCUGAUCUCUGAAACGUUGCCUUGAUGUCGAAAGCUUGCUUAUGAUGUUAGGGUAUUACGAUCAAAAGGUUAGAACGGAUUAAAUUCGUUAAGGAUGUUGACGUAAUGACUUUAAA
rnacentral:misc_RNA from 1 species